rnacentral:rRNA from 1 species
UACGGGGGGAGCAAGCGUUGUUCGGAUUUACUGGGCGUAAAGGGCGCGUAGGCGGCCAGCACAAGUCAGUUGUGAAAUCUCCGAGCUUAACUCGGAACGGUCAACUGAUACUGUGCGGCUAGAGUGCGGAAGGGGCAACUGGAAUUCUUGGUGUAGCGGUGAAAUGCGUAGAUAUCAAGAGGAACACCUGCGGCGAAGGCGGGUUGCUGGGCCGACACUGACGCUGAGGCGCGGAAAGCCAGGGGAGCGGAACGGG